rnacentral:lncRNA from 1 species
UGUCCAAAAAUUCGCCACAUGAUUUCAUUUCACCAAAUGAAAUUGUAACUGCUGUGUUGCUCUUGCAGUCAUCGCUCAUGGGCACGCGCUUUGCAGGAAAAUACCUCUGAAGCUGGGCCACCACAGUCCUUGUGAUGGGGUGCUCUGCUUUUAUAGUUAGAGUUUCAGAUGAAGCGUAACAGGCUCAAGCACCUCCUAUUUUCUCCAGAACAAUAGAUUCAAAUAAAUCAGAGCUGCAAACAAACUCAUCAGGGUGCCUGCAAUCCCAGAUGAAUCUGAGCGUCCCAGAAGUUGGAACGUGUUUCCUUGGCGCGUUUCAAGAACCAGAGGAAGGCUCAUGUCCUGAGCUGCCACAGGGGAUGGGAUGCAUUGCAUAGUAUGUGCUCUGGCACAGAACAGAGAGGGGCAACUGCAAAAAUAACCCCAUCAUGCAGCAUGAAGUUAAAAAUAAUAAAGAUGCUGUGACAGGCAGAUUCUCACAGCCUUCUGAAGCGUCAAAGUAUAAGAGGGGUCAUUCUGCCUCGGAUAAUGCCAGGGAAGCAGUAAACCAUAGCAAGGAGGAGGACAAACCUCUGGACACAGAAAUCUCCUCAGCUGCCACAGCUAAAUCUGCCAGGAGCUGUAUAUUGAAACCUUUACCUUAG